CGGCGAGCGAAAAGGGAUGAGCCCAGCGCCGAAUCCCCGACGUUUGACGUCGAGGGAACUGUGGCGUUUAGGAGUGAGCGCGCCGAGUUCGGAACGGGCAGCAAGUUCCCCUGACCGGGACCUAUCCGUAGCGGGUGCGAGGCCCAUAGCCGCCUGUUUCGUCUCGGAUGCAAUCUCCUGGGAGUCGGGUUGCUUGGGAGUGCAGCCCUAAUCGGGUGGUAAACUCCACCUAAGGCUAAAUACUGCCGUGAGACCGAUAGCAAACAAGUACCGUGAGGGAAAGUUGCAAAGAACUUUGAAGAGAGAGUUCAAGAGUACGUGAAACUGCUCAGAGGUAAACGGGUGGGCCCUCGAAAUCCUGUGGCGAGAGGAUUCAGUCUGGCGAUUACGAUGGGCGGUCGGAAAAAAAGGAAGGGCUUCCCGGGACAGGGGCCGUCCGAUCGCUCGAAAUUCGACGUUGCCAGACGCAUUUGUCUCUCGUCCGAAGGACGCCGCAGCCGGUCGGGCAGCGCAAGCGCGACGGCCUGAAGGUCGGGAGCAGGCAGGUGGCCGGUGGCGCGCCUCGGCGYGUCGCCGGUUGUUAGCCAUCCCGUCAGUGGCUCGUCGCCCGACCGAGGUAYCGCGAGGCCCUCGGGCCUCCACAUCUCCUCUCCUCCUGAGACGCGGGACAGACCGUUGCAGGCGAAAUCCGUUGUCCCGUCGCACUCCCUCAGAGUGGGCGGGCAAACGGAGGGCCCCGAUGGUGACGGCGGACCCGCGGGAGGUCGGAGGCUAGCGGCGAGUAGGUCGGUCACCCACCCGACCCGUCUUGAAACACGGACCAAGGAGUCUAACAUGUGCGCGAGUCAAUGGGUCUUGAACAGGCCCAGGGGCGCAAUGAAAGCAAAGGUCCGGCGCAAGCCGACCGAGUCGGGAUCUUCUCCUUCUCAAAGGAGUUGCGCACCGACGACCCGCCCUAUCCGGCUCGCCGGUUGGGCGGAGUGUGAGCGUACACGUUGGUACCCGAAAGUUGGUGAGCUAUGCCCGGACAGGACGAGGCCAGAGGAAACUCUGGUGGAGGUCCGCAGC
rnacentral:rRNA from 1 species